UCUCUGACAAGGAAGUUUUGCAACCUAAUUUACCGCUGGAGUCAAGCUUGUCAGUGAGUGCCAGAGGGGAACUGUCGCAAUCCACUGGUCUUGGAUGGAUGAUUUUACUACUAAAAAGCUGCAUUACAAGUCUUGACAACUAAACUCCAGUAGAAAAAAGAAAAAGGUAAGUGGACCAUAUUGAUAAAAUAAAAUUUCAAAUUAAACAAUGUUUAAAGGAAAA
rnacentral:lncRNA from 1 species